AAAGGUACUCAAGGGCGCUAAAUGGAUGCCUAGACGUAUAUUACCGAUGAAGGACGUGGAAGACUGCGAUAAGCUUCGGGAAGCUGUCAACAAGCUUUGAUCCGGAGAUCUCCGAAUGGGGAAACCCAGCAUGAGUCAUGUCAUGUUGCCACUUGCUGAACACAUAGGCAAGCGAGCGGGAACCAUCUGAACUGAAACAUCUUAGUAGGAUGAGGAAGAGAAAGUAAAUAACGAUUGCGAAAGUAGUGGCGAGCGAAAUCGCAACAGCCCAAACCUUUUAAGUUUUUGCCUAUUAAUUUAGGCAAAUAAGUUGAUAGACGAAUACUUAUAAGGGGUUGUGAUAUUACAUAUGACCAAGUCAGAGAAUUUGAUUUAUUCAAAUAAUCUGAUUUGCGAUAACUGGCUAUCAACAGUUAGUAAGGUAAGAAAUCGGCGUGGUUAGUAGAAUAGUUUGAAUGACUAGCCAAAGAACGUGAAAGCCGUGUAUAUGAAAACGACGCUGACCUUAUGUAUGUUUUAUCGAGUAGGACGGGGCACGAGAAACCCUGUUUGAAUCUGGCUGGACCACCAGCCAAGGCUAAAUAUAAUAUACGAUCGAUAGUGAACUAGUACAGUGAUGGAAAGGUGAAAAGAACCCCGGGAGGGGAGUGAAAUAGAUCCUGAAAUUUAGUGCCUACAAGGAGUCGGAGCCGGCUUGUCCGGUGACGGCGUGCUUUUUGUAGAACGAUCCAGCGAGUUAAUUUUUACAGCGAGGUUAAGUCAAUUGACGGAGCCACAGUGAAAGCGAGCCUGAAUAGGGCGAAUAAGUUGUAAGGAUUAGACCCGAAACCGGGUGACCUAACCAUGAGCAGGUUGAAGCCACUGUAACAGGUGGUGGAGGACCGAACCAGGAUACGCAGCAAAGUGUUUGGAUGACUUGUGGUUAGCGGUGAAAUGCCAAUCGAACUCGGAGAUAGCUGGUUCUCCUCGAAAUAGCUUUAGGGCUAGCGUCGUGUUAGUAGCACAUGGGGGUAGAGCUCUGUAAAGGACUGGGGCGGGCAACUGUACCCACCCUUAACAAACUACGAAUACCAUGUGUGUAAUCACGGCAGUUAGAACAUCGGUGCUAAGAUCGGUGCUCAAAAGGGAAACAGCCCAGACCAUCAUCUAAGGUCCCUAAAUUAACGUUCAGUGGGAAACAAGGUGAGAUUUCUUAAACAGCUAGGAUGUUGGCUUAGAAGCAGCCAUUCAUUUAAAGAGUGCGUAACAGCUCACUAGUCAAGAGAUCUUGCGUGGAAAAUGUAACGGGGCUAAAACGUUAUACCGAAGAUAUGGAUUACACGCUAAGUACAAAGUUAAAGUUGUGUUACAAUCAAUUUAUGGAAAAUGAGAUUUACGUAGGUAGCGUUUAUAAACACUAUAAAGGCAAUAAGUAUGUUGUUGUAAGUAUAGCUGUUCAUACUGAGACGCUUGAAGAGCUUGUAGUUUAUCGAGCCAUUUAUGGCGACGGAGAAUUAUGGGCUAGGCCUAAGAAAAUGUUUUUAGAUAAUAUUGAAAAAGACGGAAAGAUCAUUCCAAGGUUUAAAUUGAUUAAGAAACUUUGAUUUUGUUCUUAGUGUGUAGUGGUAGAGGAGCGUUCCUAUCAGCAGUGAAGUCGAAUCGGAAGGUUCGGUGGAGCGGUAGGAAGUGAGAAUGCUGGAAUGAGUAACCAUAAGAGAGGUGAGAAUCCUCUCGGCCGUAAGAGCAAGGUUUCCUGAGCCAUGGUAAUCAUCUCAGGGUUAGUCGGGCCUAAGCCGAGGCGCAGAGCGUAGGCGAUGGACAUCAGGUUAAUAUUCCUGAACCGGUUAAGUUUUGUACACUGUUCACGGGGAAGUAAUCGAAGCGGAUUCAUGGUUUAUCCGUCCAACCGAGCGGGAACGCAAAGGGAGUGAAAGUGAUUCUUCGGAGUCGCGAUUUUGGUGAAAGCCCUGGCUAGAAAAGCAGGUGUACGCGUGGACUUAGCCGCCCGUACCGCAAACCAACACAGGUGCUCGAGUCGAGUAGACUCAGGCUUACGAGCGAACCUUCGCUAAGGAACUCGGCAAUACAGCGACCGUAACUUCGGGAUAAGGUCUGCCCCCACUUCGGUGGAUAUCAGCCGCGUUCACUCAGUGAAUAUUAGGUUAAAGAGUACAUUUUUAAUCACAAAACGAAUUUUCUGAGAUAGAGCAAACGAAUUGUUCUUUUUGAACGCGAACCUCUGACGUCUAACGAUGUGGGGGCCGCAGCAAAAGAGCCCACGGAACUGUUUAUCAAAAACACAGGUCUCUGCUAACACGAAAGUGGAUGUAUAGGGGCUGACUCCUGCCCAAUGCUGGAAGGUUAAGGGGAGCGCUUCACGGUGCGAACUGAAGCCCUAGUCAAUGGCGGCGGUAACUAUAACCGUCCUAAGGUAGCGAAAUUCCUUGUCAGGUAAG
rnacentral:rRNA from 1 species